rnacentral:rRNA from 1 species
AACGAACGCUGGCGGCAGGCCUAACACAUGCAAGUCGAGCGCCCCGCAAGGGGAGCGGCGGACGGGUGAGUAACGCGUGGGAAUAUGCCCUUUGCUACGGAAUAGUCUCGGGAAACUGGGGGUAAUACCGUAUACGCCCUUUUGGGGAAAGAUUUAUCGGCGAAGGAUUAGCCCGCGUUGGAUUAGGUAGUUGGUGGGGUAAUGGCCUACCAAGCCGACGAUCCAUAGCUGGUUUGAGAGGAUGAUCAGCCACACUGGGACUGAGACACGGCCCAGACUCCUACGGGAGGCAGCAGUGGGGAAUCUUAGACAAUGGGGGCAACCCUGAUAUAGCCAUGCCGCGUGAGUGAUGAAGGCCUUAGGGUUGUAAAGCUCUUUCAGCUGGGAAGAUAAUGACGGUACCAGCAGAAGAAGCCCCGGCUAACUCCGUG